rnacentral:lncRNA from 1 species
CUCGCCCUGCCCCCACGUUGGGCACCCACAUGGACAGUGACAGACUAGUGGAGGAGGAAGAGAAGGAGGAAGGAAAGCCAGAGAAGGAAAGUGGAGGGAUGCCAGCAUGUCUUCCCCCGUGGCACCCAGAUGAUCCUCGCAGCCUGCAAGCUGCACCCUCUUUGUGAAAAUCUAUUUAAACUCUAUCAGCUGAAAACAGAUCCCGGAUUACCCAAGCUUGAGGGGUGAGUCUGCAUAUUCCCUACAUAGUCCACAUAAAAAAAACAACUCCAUCUCUUCCUUUUCCCCCCUCACAUGCACAUACCCACUGUUCUGUACAUCCCACCGUGUCUCCAUAUGUGUCCAGACUGGAGUUCCCAUGUAACGCUUUGUUGUCCAGACUUCUCUUAUGCCCCUGAGGCUGAACUGAUUAACAGUAAUCGGGAACAACAAUCCAUGAUAAUGUGAAUUAAAAUGGACCAAUGGAGGCAGCUUUUGGCCCCCACGCUCUACGGAGAGCAAUGGCACAGUUAUAGUGUACACAGGCCCUGCAGGGAAAGGCCAGACAAAGACAGAAGCGUGCCAGACUGUAGGUUAAUAUAUGUGGAAUGGAUUUGAGAGGCCUAGAGGGGGUGUACAUUGGUCCUCAUCGUACUUUGCUUACAUAAAUAUGAGGAAAUGUGUUUAUUUUGAUCCGUAAAUAUACUCAUGCUUGCCAGUGUACACAUAUUGGUACAAUGAGAUCAUCCUGCAGCUAGGUUUUUGUAUUGUUAGGCUUAAAAAAUGAAUGGUACUCAGUCUUAAAGCACAGUAUUCUGUUUACUGAGGAGUUGAUAUCUAGAGAUUAUGUGGUUUCACUCAAUAAAAAACCAAGUGUGGACAGUACUUUGCUUUAGCACAGCAGUCUCGACAGCCAGCUGUUGUUCAGCCUCCCCCUGCUGUCCCCUCCAUCUUUUCUCCCGCCAGAGCUCCAGGGGAGAGACGAGCAGACAGUGAUCUGUUGGAAGCUGUGUGAGGGAACAGAGCGUUGGGGGGAUAUUUCAAGACCAGACAUGUACAGAGUCAAGUAGAGGGACUGAACACACAAACGGACUCUAAGUAACUACCAUCUUCUCUCAUUCAGGAGGAGGGGGGAGGUUUUCUUUGGAGGGGAUCCAUCUCUGACUCUGGGUCCAAAAACACACGAGUGGAAAGGAGAGACUAAAUUUGUGCCCUUUCCCCUCAUUAGUCAUUCUACAAAUUGGACGGUGUGUGUGUGUGAUGUCAGGUUAUGAGGUGCUGUAAGAGAUGGAGCUGAUAGCAAACCAAUAUUAAUGAGACUUUUCCAAAAUGAUUCUCUCUCUUUGUGCAAGUCUUUUGCCAGCCCUUAAGUUUCCCUUCAUUAUUACUAUCAUCUCUACCUGAUGAUUAUCUGCUUGCAGGGUUUGGGCUUGACAGGCAAUGUUGUGUUAGAUUAAAAUGGGGAUUUUUUUUUUUUAUUACCAAUUUUAAAUAUUUUAUGGCUAUGGGUAGAACACUCAUGACCUCGUGACACAUGGUUGUUCAUCCAGAGUAUCAAUAGUUCCAAGAAAGGAUUUAUCAGUGAUUUUAGUAGAUGAAUUCUGCUUCAAGUCUCAUAUUUAGUAUCCCUAAACAAAAAUUAUCAACUGAAUUUGUAUCAUGUAUCGUGAAUUUGAAAAAGUGUGGCAUUGCUGUGAAACGACAGAGCCUAAAUGACAGCUAUCAGCCAAAAAAUUGUCCUUACUGGGUGUCUACUGUGAACCGCUUCAUACCCCAGCCAAAAGUCCUCUGAAUUUCUCCCCUCUGACAGACGCUGGAGGGCACUGCGCACCAAGGCAAGUACACGCUAGAACUGUUUCUUCCAAAAUGACAUGACACUCAUAAACACUUAAUUCAUCCAUUUAAGUGUCUCAAAGAGUUAGUUCUGUUUUCGCUGCCUAUCUUGUUUUUAAUUUCACUGCUUUUCCUACAAUUUCACAUGUCUAAACAGAUAUUGUUUGUAACCACUCAAACUUCAGAGAUCAUGUCUGUAUUAGUUUUUGUUUUUUUAAUGUCUGGAUGAUGCCAUAAAUACAAAUAAAGCCACCUUAAUAUUGAAACACACAAAAUGUAGUUUGAUUUAAAAGAAAAAAAGAACUUGAUGGUCCCUACAGCGAGUCAGCCUUCUACUAUAGUGGUUAACUAUGACACACAACCCAUACAACCAUCACCAAUCAAAACCUUUUCUGAUCUGUUUGUUUUCACUACUUUAACAAAAAUCCUUAUUUAUCUUUCAGUGUAUGAAACCAGAUCCUAGGCAGUUUUAUCUCAGCUUCUCCAGUCA